rnacentral:rRNA from 1 species
AGCAGUCGCCACGGUAAUACGGAGGAUGCGAGCGUUAUCCGGAUUUAUUGGGUUUAAAGGGUGCGUAGGCGGCCUGUUAAGUCAGCGGUGAAAUCUAGGAGCUUAACUCCUAAAUUGCCAUUGAAACUGGCGGGCUUGAGUGUAGAUGAGGUAGGCGGAAUGCGUGGUGUAGCGGUGGAAUGCAUAGAUAUCACGCAGAACUCCAAUUGCGAAGGCAGCUUACUAAGGUACAACUGACGCUGAAGCACGAAAGCGUGGGUAUCAAACAGGAUUAGAUACCCCGGUAGUCCCUGUCUCUUAUAA